UCCCUUGUGGCUUAGCUGGUAAAGCAACUGCCUGCAAUGCAGUAGGCCUGGGUUCAAUCCCCGGGUUGGGAA